AUUUAUACUCAGUCCUACUGCAUCCUUGUUUCUUGCUCCACCACAUAUAGAGAGAAUUCUUGACUUUCAUCCUCUUGUGCCUCACAAGCACAUCUGUUGAAUGUAAUGCAUUCAUACACUUCUGUCCACUUAACCUGUGAUUCUCUUGCCAUUAACAGGGCCUGACAAGUGAUAGCUGCCUCCUCAAGCACUUUGCCAAGAAAACAGAGCCUCGAGUGUGUGCGCAUCCCUCCAGGCUUUUGCUCUCAUCGGCAGAGGCCUUUGCUGAAAGGAGGCCCAGAGGGAUGCAGUGCCCCUCCUGGCCUCUAUUCUCAUUAGCAAAGAGUUUUUCCAAAUAUGGCAAAAAGCUUUGCAAAUGGAGGGGAGGCUUUGGUGCUUCAGGCCUUCCCUUCAUUUGCAAAGCUUUUUGCUGCAGAUCUUGUCCAGCCUCCAUUUGCAGACAACAGAGGCCUAAAGUACUGUGCGAUCAGGCAAAAUCAGUAGCAUGAAAUCUCGCGCUUCUGAUCCCGUGUGAUCUUGCAGUACUUUAGGCCUCCAUUCUCUGCAAAUGCACCGAAGGCCUGAAGCAUCGAACAGGCCAAGAAACAGAAGGCUCCCUGGAUCUUCGCAAGAAAAAAAGCACUGCGCAUAAGUUUUAAUAAAGGCCUUGAUUGACAAAAGGUAUGAAGAAAUUUGCUUGAGAGUCAAGGGCAGAAAGGCUGUGGUCCAAAAAGGCAUGAAAAACCAUUCUAAAGAAAUAAGACAAUAGUUCUUCCUAAUCCAGUGAAUAUCAGAUGUAAUGCAGUGCAAUUUCCUUCAGCACCAGCAAAUAUCUGGAAAGUCAUAUUGGAAAAGGCUGUAUGACGUGCCAGGAUAGGUGGACUUGAACAACUGGGAAUUCCACUUUAGCAGGAAGAUCUUUCAAAAUGUAACCUCCUUUGGAUAGAAUGCAAUACAAAUGGAAACAAAUAGACUAUAUUCCUAAAUACUGCAAAAUAAA